UGCGUAGGCGGGUCUUUAAGUCAGAGGUGAAAUCCUGGAGCUCAACUCCAGAACUGCCUUUGAUACUGAAGGUCUUGAGUUCGGGAGAGGUGAGUGGAACUGCGAGUGUAGAGGUGAAAUUCGUAGAUAUUCGCAAGAACACCAGUGGCGAAGGCGGCUCACUGGCCCGAUACUGACGCUGAGGCACGAAAGCGUGGGGAGCAAACA
rnacentral:rRNA from 1 species